UUUACUGUUCCAACAUUUUACAGUUUUGCAAAUGCUUAUUUUCUGGUGUGGGGAAAAUAAGAAAAACAAAAAACAAAAAACAAUUCACAAGCCAAACAUUUUAGUGUUUAUAUGUUACCUGGCUUGGUUUUAAAUGGAUUUACUUCACACAAAGCUUGAGCACUUAGAGUAUUUUUAAUGCUCUAAAGGUGUUCAGUGACAGGAAAAUGAUACGUAGCUGCCUGCCUGUGACAACAUAUAAGUAAUUCUUUUAGGUAUUGCAACACAUCUUAAUGCUACAUUCUGUAGCAACAGUCCCUCAGAGGGUAUUUAGAGUGUAGGUACCUAAGUUAGGAGAUUUGUAUACUUUGGCUCCCUUUGUGAUUACAGGUGUGAGAAAGCCUUCUCCAGAGAGCAGUUCAGAGGAGAAACGUAGUUUAAGUGCCCUGAGUAUGUUAGCAAAAUCAUUCAGAGCAAAACCAUUAAAUAAUAUUCUGAAUUGCAGUUGUUAUUUGAAGGAAUGGAGUGCAGGCUUGAAGAAUGCAAAGGUAUGCCAUGCAUGUAUAAGACAGGAGUAUGGACUACAUUUCCUCCAAAAGAAAUGCUGUUAAAUACAAGAGCCUAAUCAGACUUCUGGCAUCUGUCACAUUAACCUAUAACUCUCAGGAUAAAAGCCAUUUUACUCUGCCUGCACUUCAGACAAAAUACAGCUGGGAGAGAAGCUGAUCCUUUCAGAAGCACAAAGAAGAUCCCUUUAAGGUCUGUGGCUCCAGCUGUGGAUUAUGGGUCAGUUUGUUCUCCUUUCCAAAGUCUCAGCACCAGCCUGGCACAGUUCAAGACAGGCAAGACCUCUAGGAAGCUGAAAUUUCUGACUACAGGAGGCUUUCAGCAUCUCCAGUGACUCAACAAGUAAGAAAUGAGUCACCUUCCCCUUGUGCUUUUAUUCUGUUUUUAAUUAUUCCUCUAUUUUUGACGUAGAAACUUACAGGGACAAAUAAUAGGAGGUUCUAGUUGCUGCUAAUUUUCAGGCCCUGGUCUGGGGAUUUGAAGUAGCUAUGCACCAAAUUCCCAUGGCAAUAACAAGUUACUAAAAUAUUAUUGAAACAUAAACUUGAGGCUCAUUUUAGGCACACCCCCUGGCCCAGUCUCUGGAAGAGAAGAGGCUGUGAAGGAGAUUGGGGUCCUCCAAGCCCCAGUCUGCCUUGGGGUCCUCUUGGAACCCAGGGAAUAUGUGCCAUUUGCACCACACACUUCUCCCACUGCUUCAUCACUGCUGCUCAGCAGGAGGACUGGAAACAUAGGUCUGUCCCACUUUUACAAGAGGGCACAAUGUUAUAAGGUGGAGACAAAGGUGUAUUUCACCUUCCUUUCAUUCAGGAAGGUGAAAUACAACCUAGAUAAGGAGGAAUGACUUGUGGUUCAGGUAAUGGGGGAGGACCCAGCACCUUCCAGGACUGAGCACAGAGAGAGCAUCAGAAGCCAAUCAAAUGAAUGAGCUGGAUUAUACAUUUCCAUUUAACUGAGAGCUAGACACAGCCUCAGCAACACAGAAACGGAUUUACAACUUUUAACAAGCAGUGCUCUGUAAAAAUAAAAUGACUUCAAGCACAGUAUUAAAACUUUUC
rnacentral:lncRNA from 1 species